rnacentral:rRNA from 1 species
UACGAAGGGGGCUAGCGUUGCUCGGAAUCACUGGGCGUAAAGGGUGCGUAGGCGGGUCUUUAAGUCAGGGGUGAAAUCCUGGAGCUCAACUCCAGAACUGCCUUUGAUACUGAGGAUCUUGAGUUCGGGAGAGGUGAGUGGAACUGCGAGUGUAGAGGUGAAAUUCGUAGAUAUUCGCAAGAACACCAAUGGCGAAGGCAGCUCUCUGGGACGGUACUGACGCUGAGACGCGAAAGCGUGGGGAGCGAACAGG